rnacentral:tRNA from 2 species
CGGGGUGUAGCUCAGUUGGUUAGAGUCCACGUCUGGGGGGCGUGUGGUCGCUGGUUCAAGUCCAGUCACCCCGA